rnacentral:lncRNA from 1 species
AUGUUACUAACAGAACAGAAAUCCCAAGUGACGAGUGGGAAUCUAGAGGUGAAUGGCUUUAAUCAGGGCUCACUUGUAUCAGAAAAUUGUAUAUACCAUUACAUGGAUUUAUUAACGCUGGGCUAUGAUUGUGGUGUUAACGACAUAUUUAAGAGUCAUAUUAAUGAUGUAAAUAAAACAGAUAGAAAUGCAAACUUUUGCCCAUUUUUCUUAAAGGAGAGACAUUCAGAUGCCAUCAGCCAUUGUUUUCUUGUUAUAAGUCACCAUUUGAAGUGCUUUGGACAAAACAGGUGGAGAUCUUCUCAAAGUUCCAGUCCAUUUGCACUAAGAAGAUAGAGAAAAACAGUUAAAAUCCUCCCUGUCAUGGGAGUGCUAUUGUAACAUCCAUGGCACUGAAGAAAGAGGCUGCGAAGAAGAGAACUGGAAAUCUUCAAGGAAGUUACCCACUGCCACCCUGAUCUAUUGAGAGCUCUGUGUCAGCACAAGUGGAAGCAGAGUGCCAAAUGUUCUGAAUAUUUCUUCGGGUCCUUCUCUCUGAAUAUUCAGGAGUAAGAGGAGCUGAUUUGGUUCAAAGAUGAGUUUUUAUCUCCCGAGUUUUAGUCUCAGCUUAUAAUCUUCUUUGCUGUUUUGAGUUUUAGUAAUAUUGUUAAUAUUGCAUUGUUAUUUUAUGAAACAUAUUAAAGAAUUUAAAAUUCUUCAGCUGAAGGUCUGUGGGCACUUUUGAUGUCUUGGCAGGUUUCUUCUGCAGCUAUGUAACAUGUCAGUUGUAACUGAGAAACUCAUCUAACAGAGAUAUUUUCUGUGUAGUUUUAGUUGUAUUUAUUCUACUACACAUAUACAAAUCUCAGUUAUAAACACAAUGCAUGUAAGUCAUUU